GUGAGAUGUUCAAAACAGGUCUCAAAAUUGCUGACAGUGAUAAUAAUAGGUUGGAGAGUGCUAAAUUUAAUUACCAGCUUGGGAAGGAGUUGACGGGGGUUCGUCUUGACUUAAGCGCACCUAUCAAUAUUGCCAAGGGCUGUAU